rnacentral:rRNA from 1 species
UACGUAGGGUGCAAGCGUUAAUCGGAAUUACUGGGCGUAAAGCGUGCGCAGGCGGCUUUGCAAGACAGAUGUGAAAUCCCCGGGCUUAACCUGGGAACUGCAUUUGUGACUGCAUGGCUGGAGUGCGGCAGAGGGGGAUGGAAUUCCGCGUGUAGCAGUGAAAUGCGUAGAUAUGCGGAGGAACACCGAUGGCGAAGGCAGCCCCCUGGGCUGAGAUUGACGCUCAGGCACGAAAGCGUGGGGAGCAAACAGG